UUUAGAUUUAGUUGUUGACAGGUGUGAAUUUAUUGCCAUUUUAAUGUUCAUAGUUUUGAUCUUCUUUUUCUUAAAUAAGUCUUGUUAGCAUAUCAUGUAACAAUGGCUUGCUGAUAAUGAACUCCUUUUGCUUUACCUUGUCUGGGAAGCACUUUAUCUGUCUUUCCAUUCUAAAUGAUAGCUUU